GUCGCUGCUACCGAUUGGAUGGUCCGGUGAGAACUCUGGAUUGCGGUCGGUGUGUCGCUCUGCGAUGCAUGACUGCGAGAAGUUGAUCGAACCUUAUCAUCUAGAGGAAGCAA
rnacentral:rRNA from 1 species